UCGGCCACAGUACAUUAAAACAACGGUUCCUAUAUGGUCACCAAAGUUAAGCAACGUCGAGCCUGGUUAGUACAUAGAUGGGUGACCGCUUGGGCAUACUAAGUACUGUAA